rnacentral:lncRNA from 1 species
GGAACAGAAGUCUCCAAAACAACUUCGAUACAUCUUAUUCCCUUCCCAUUCACUGAAGGCAAGUACAAGGGGUGAUGGAAUUCCUUCAACUCAGUCUGUCAAGAGGCUCACCAAUCCAGAACGACCCUCAGAAACCAAGAUAAGAGAGUGAAUUAAUUGUCCAUUGUAAAUGUCGAUAUCCUUCGGCCAAGCUACCAACCGUUAUUUUCUAAUAUCUCAGAGAUGAAAGGCAACCUGUAUGUCAUCUUACCAUACUGCCUUCUUUAACCCAGGAGGAAAUAUGGACCUAAGAGAUGAGGCACCUUGGUCCCAGGGCAUCCGUUGAAAAUUUUUAUGUGCUUUUUUCGUAAUACAACAUGGCCUCUCUAAUUAUUAACUCUGGACAAGCAUUCUAUUAUCCAAUUGAUUUAUUGAGUGCUUACUAUGUGCUUAGCUAUGUUUUUGGGACAAAUUCUGGGAAAAAAAUGAAUUAUGUAGGCAAUAAAGAAC